GCCACCGCCGGAUGAGCAGAAAAACUGCCCCACCAUGGUGCUCGUGAGGAGCUCGCGCCACCGCCAGGGACGCCUCGUCCGGCCAGCACCUCGCCGGAGGUCGGAACCGGCGGCCCCGCACCGCUAGGAGCCACUCAAGGCCGAGCCUCUCCCGUCCCCAUCUCCUUCCUCCCCUUCCCCAUUUCUUCUUCUGCUCUCCCUCUCUCUCAUGCUCCCCCUUUC
rnacentral:lncRNA from 1 species